UACUUGGCCAGCCUCAGCUGUGCCCUGGCUCUGGGUGGAACUCAAAGUGCCAGCCCAGACACUGGAGCCUUCCGCCCAGACACUGGAGCCUUCCGCCCAGACACUGGAGCCUUCCGCCCAGACACUGGAGCCUUCCGCCCAGACACUGGAAUCCAGCCGUCUGCUCCGAAUCCUGCUCAUGCCUCUUCAGUUCUUUUCUUCUGAGGUCUCCCUUCUUCCAGCCACUGUCUGCUGCCUUCCUUCUUGAGGUUACUGGGAUUUUCAGAAGACGUAUUGCUGAUGUUUCCCUUCUAGACAUCCAGGAGUGGAGAGUGGAGACUGGACUGGGAAGAGAACACGUGGAAAGGUGGUCAGGCAUGGAGGGGACAGAAGAAAGGAAGCGGGGUCACAGUGCAUUCUAGUGACAGAGGAUCAAUUUGGACCCUGGUGUUUCCUCCCGGGUAGCGAGGUAUGUGUGGCAUUUCCCAUUCCUCUCAUUUUACUCCUGGUGGUCAAAUGGAGCACCUGGUCUCUUCCCAUGUGACCUUAUCAGACUUCCCAGUCGAAGAGGUUGGAGUUCACUUCCUUUCCAUUGAUAGGAGUCCUGGCCAGCACUGUUAGGAAGUUGCCUGUCUUGGCAUGGAAUCUUGCCAUCUCUCAUCUACUCUGAAGAAUAAGUUUAUGAUCACCAUCCCAGAGGAAGGAAGAGGAGACCCCAGAAAUGGACCAAAACAGUCUGGCACGAAACCCACAGUGACCAUAUCUGCCAAUAAAGAGACUUUUGCUGUCA